rnacentral:misc_RNA from 1 species
UGUUCGUGUAGCUUUCUCAGUUGUAAGUUGGAAGAAUUUUUUUCUUUCUUUUGUCGAAUAAAUUUCUAUGGGUUUUUUAGUUGCUUGAAUAAUAUGAAUAUUUUAGGCUUUUAAAACAGAACUUUGCUCUAAAAAAUAAUACUCGGCCCCAUGUAUGAAUGCUUUGCCUAUAUCAUGCAAUGCAAAACAUAUAGUCAUUUUCUAGCGAAACAAACAGGAAAAGAAAAUGCAUGAUAAAGGAAUCUCCCAGUGGUAAUGUGAUAUGCAGUUGCAGGUUUUUA